rnacentral:rRNA from 1 species
UACGAAGGGGGCUAGCGUUGUUCGGAAUUACUGGGCGUAAAGGGCGCGUAGGCGGCCUUGCAAGUCGGGCGUGAAAUCCCUGGGCUCAACCCGGGAAUGGCGCCCGAGACUGUCGGGCUUGAGGACGGGAGAGGAUGGUGGAAUUCCCAGUGUAGAGGUGAAAUUCGUAGAUAUUGGGAAGAACACCGGUGGCGAAGGCGGCCAUCUGGUCCGUUACUGACGCUGAGGCGCGAAAGCGUGGGGAGCAAACAGG